UGCUCCUGAGAUGAGCUCCCCAAAGGAGAAAUGAGAAUUGUUUCUGUGAGCUGGAUCAUUCCUUCCAAUACUUCAGUGGUAGCAUCUCGUACCAUCUUCCGAAGUGUAGUACCUUGGCCCUUGGGGAGCCAGUAGUACACUGUGGCAACUGCAAGAAUGGCAUUCUGGACAUCUUCACUCAGCUUCCGACAAUUCUCUGCAGAAGGCAGUGGAGGCCUUGAGAAGGCCAAACUAAGCUUCGUAGCUUCCUGUGAUGUUUCCUUGAAUGCCUGACCUAGCGCGUCCCAGAAGCGCGGAGGCUCGAACGGCUCGCGGCCUUCGCCCGGUUCGCCCUCUCUGACCCGUGCCAGCACCGCGCGCAGAGAGCCGCACAGCUCCUGCAGCAGCUCCCGCGCCUCCAUGCCUGCGGGAGCACCCCGCGCGCUCCGGCACGGCUGGACGUCUGCUACGGCACAGCACACCAACUUCCGG
rnacentral:lncRNA from 1 species